UACCAUCAGCUCUAGUACAUGUGACUGAACACACUGAUAUAACAAGGAAAACAGUAUCUAAUGGGGUCAGUAAUAAGAACUGAGUGGCUAAACUAGACUCAUAUAGAACUGUGACGACACCAGGAAGAUAGAGUAAGAAACUCUAACUAAUCCGUGAAUCUAGUAAUGUGACCCUGUGGUCAUGUAUGCAUCAUCAUCCUAAUAUCAGCCACCCCUAGCUAGUGGUAGAUAGCCUCAUGGUGGAUCAGACCAUGAAAUCACCCUAAAAACCGUAUGAGCAGCAUAUGUACGCAUACUCGACACGUCCUACAUGACCAAGGGGAUUUAACAAUCCAUGGGUGGGUGAAAAACGCAUAAUGGGGGCUAAUCUAGCUAAACCUGAAUCCUGUCCUUAACAUGAAUGGGGAAUCACAGUUCAAACGUCAUGAGCUUAUGCUCGAACUUAAACAACAACCUUUACAGUAGAUCACACGGUAGUGUACAAUCUGAGAGCCCGACUCUGUUUCACAACCCCAGUUUAGUAGAUCACAUGCUACUGUAAAUUCUUGAGAAUCUGAUCAUCGGAUUCCUGACAAUCCUAAUUAUAGUUCUACGCUUUACACAUAAAGUAAUCAUAAUCCCCACACACCAUAAGAAGAUUUAAGACCUUAGAUUAUGACUUGACAUGAUUCCUCUUGCUGGUACGAGUUUGUAGCUUCUGACCAUGCGUCGUUUGCAGCUCAAAUGAUUGAGUUAUGCUCCAUUUACUUUUUUGCAACAAUCCAAAAACUUGUUGAGACAGAAAUGUUACGCUAGUCCUUCAACUUUCUCUAUUACACUAAGUGGUCUGGAACAUUCGUUCGUUGACAAAACUGUUCCAACUUCUUAACUGUAAACCAUCCAAAAGUUUAGAGCUACUGGAACAAAACUGAAGAAUAACGAAAUUCACAGAUUGGUCACUAACUUUCUAGACUUGCAGUUUAGUCCCUCUUCUUCUCCGGCGGACAUGGGUCGCCACCGGCGAGCCGUAGCCAGAACCUGGCGAGCGAGCCCUUGAACACACACCGUCUCUUAGCCUCCGGUCUGAUGUCGUCUCCAGGACGAGGGCUUCCGAUACCUCGCUUCUCUUUUUCCUCCCUCACACGCGCCGGCCACCACGCCGCAACAAUCGCCGAUUACCAAAUCCGCCGCCACCGUCGAUUUCGAAUCUGUUGCCAUCUCCUCCUUUCAAUCGAUGAUCGUUGCCGGCUCUUCCUCUCACGAACAACGAACUCUCCUCUAUCCAGCGCCGAGGCAACAACGAAGCCACUAUUGGCGACGAAUCUCCUCUCGUGAUCAAUCACCAUCAAUCUCCCUCUUACUGUGUUUUUGCGAUUAGAUUUUGUAUUUAAAUUUUUCUUCAAAAAUAAUCCUACAGUCCUUAUAUACUGAACCCAUCACAACCUUGAUGAAAAAGCAAUCACGUCUGUUGCUACGCUUCCCAUCACGCAUAUGGUCAUCAAUCACCCAAGGGCAUGCCAUCCAAACAACCAUAGAUGUGCCUUCCAAACAACCGCAUACGUGAUCUCCAAACAAUCGUGCCCGUUUCUCAUUAAAUCAAAAC
rnacentral:lncRNA from 1 species